rnacentral:misc_RNA from 1 species
AUCUCAUCGACCUUUGACUUUUUCCGAGUCGGAGGGCGGAUUUGGACGCUGCCGGCUUUUCCAAGUCGACUCGUCUUAAAUACAUCAGCUGGUUCCGCCGCGUGAGCUCGGUACGGUGUGAUAAGUCUCGCUUUGACGCCGUCUUUGACUCUGUGUAGUGGGCCGCUUCUAAUCGUCUUCGGACAAAUCCAAUC